rnacentral:rRNA from 1 species
GACGAACGCUGGCGGCGUGCUUAACACAUGCAAGUCGAACGGAAAGGCCCUGCUUUUGUGGGGUGCUCGAGUGGCGAACGGGUGAGUAACACGUGAGUAACCUGCCCUUGACUUUGGGAUAACUUCCGGAAACUGGGGCUAAUACCGGAUAGGAGCUCCUGCUGCAUGGGGGGGGUUGGAAAGUUUCGGCGGUUGGGGAUGGACUCGCGGCUUAUCAGCUUGUUGGUGGGGUAGUGGCUUACCAAGGCUUUGACGGGUAGCCGGCCUGAGAGGGUGACCGGCCCCAUUGGGACUGAGGUACGGACCAGACUCCUACGGGAGGCAGCAGUGGGGAAUAUUGCCCAGUGAGCGGAAGCCUGAUGCAGAAACGCCGCGUGCGGGAUGACGGCCUUCGGGUUGUAAACCGCUUCCGCCUGUGACGAAGCGUGAGUGACGGUAAUGGGUAAAGAAGCACCGGCUAACUACGUG